rnacentral:rRNA from 1 species
UGAGGAAUAUUGGUCAAUGGGCGGGAGCCUGAACCAGCCAAGCCGCGUGAGGGAGGAAGGCCCUAUGGGUCGUAAACCUCUUUUGUCAGGGAACAAAAGCGAGUAUGUAUACUAGUCUGAGUGUACCUGAAGAAAAAGCAUCGGCUAACUCCGUGCCAGCAGCCGCGGUAAUACGGAGGAUGCGAGCGUUAUCCGGAUUUAUUGGGUUUAAAGGGUGCGUAGGCGGCGGUGCAAGUCAGCGGUAAAAGCCCGGGGGCUCAACCCCGGCGAGCCGUUGAAACUGCAGUGCUAGAGAAGGCGAGAGGUACGCGGAAUGCGCAGUGUAGCGGUGAAAUGCCUAGAUAUUGCGCAGAACUCCGAUUGCGAAGGCAGCGUACUGGCGCCUGACUGACGCUGAGGCACGAAAGCGUGGGGAUCGAACAGGAUUAGAUACC